UUUUUUUUUUUUUUGCUUUUUUUAGGGCUGAACCCACAGCAUAUGGAGGUUCCCUGGCUAGGGGUCAAACUGGAGCUACGGCUGCCAGCCUACACCACAGCAACACAGGAUCCAAGCCAAGUGUGCGACCUACACCACACUCACGGCAAUGCCGGAUCCUUAACCCACUGAGUGAGGCCAGGGAUCGAACCCACAACCUCUUGGUUACUUGUCAGAUUGUUUCACUGAGCCAAAACGGGAACCCCUACAGACAAAAUUUUUUAAAAUUAAACUCUCUGGCCUUUCCCCACAGCCAAAUUUUCUAAUAAGCUCUGAUAAUCUAAUAAACCAAUCUAUAAACUAAAGCAAAAGUCACAAAUAUUUUGGUGGAAUCAUCAAAAUUUCCAAAAUUUAAAAAAGCCAAUAUGGUAAUAUCUUGUUUUCUAGGCUGAGAGUCAAAUCUCUUAGCUUAGAGCUCUAACAGUAGACCAUAAUAUACUGUUUAAAUACCUCCAUACUAGAAAUAGUUCGGGGGGAAGUCUUACCCACCUGGAAAAAUUAUCACUUCCUAAUGUAUCAAAAUAAAUUAACCCAACCAGAAGACUACUCUAGAGUAUGCAUUUUCAAUUUGGGCAACGUCAUCCCUGAGGGGACAAAAAAAUUUAAGAUAUUAUGAUGGUCUGUGUUCUGCCAAAGGCAUCAGCACACAAACAGAUACAUAAACAGAGUUUAUAUAUAGUAAACCUCAAGUAUUAAAAUUCCACAUGGAGGAAGGCAAGUAGGGAAAAAAUGUCCUAAGGUUCCUUAGGAAACAAUAAUGAAGAAAAAGAUUGAGAAACACUGCUCACAAUUGAGGGUCAGCAAACCUAUCCUCUAAAGAGCCAAAUAGUAAAUAUUCUAGGCUCUGAAGGAUAUACAAUCACUAUUCAACUCUCCCACUGUAGCAUGAAAAUAAACACAGAUGAUACAGAAAAGGAAUAAGCAAGGCUGUGUAUCAAUAAAACUUUGGUUUAUGGACAAUAAAUUUGAAUUUCCCAUGAUUUUCACAUCAUAAAGUAUUCUCAAUUUUUUUUUAACCAUUUAAAAAUGUAAAAAUCAGAGUUCCCUGGUAGACUAGCAGUUAAGGAUCUGGCAUUGUCACUACUGCAGUUCAGGUCACUACUCUGGCACAGGUUCAAUCACUGGCCCAGGAACUUCCACAUGCGGCAGGUACAGCCAAAAAAGAAAUUAAGGAGUUCCUGUUGUGGUUCAGUGGUUAACAAAUCAGACUAGGAACCAUGAGGUUGCGGGUUUGAUCCUGGCCUUGCUCAGUGGGUUAAGGAUCCAGCGUUGCUGUGAGCUGUGGUAUAGGUCGCAGAUACGCCUCGGAUCCCAAAUUGCUGUGCGGCUGUGAAAGGAAAAACAAAAAAAAAGGAGAAAGACUUUUCAUAGCCCUGUAGGAAAAACAAUGGCUACUUAUAGCCAAUAUGCCCUAAGAACUGCUAUCCAAGUUACUGCUCACACUCAAUAAACCAAACGAGAUACUCAAAUUUUAGAGGGUAUCAGAAUCAUUAAGAGGUAGAAGACUUGUUAACUAAGACAGGGUACUGGGCCUCACCCUUGGAGUGGGAUGGAAGUGGAAACAUACAUUUCAAGGUUCCAUAUGAUGGUGAUGUUGCUGAUCUGGGGCCCAUACUCUGAGAACCACUGAUCUAACAGACUGUAACCAGCGAAAUAUUGUAAUCAUAUUUGAGUCAUAUAUCAGAUACAAACAUUUAAGGAAAAUGAAGAUAUACCUUCUUUUAUUUACUCCACUGGGUCUUGGUCUUUGGCUUUUAAUGUACUGUAAUAAAUAUUUUCUUUCGAUGUGCAAUGUGGCUGUAUGUAGUCAUAAAACCUCCUUUUCCCUCCUUAAAACUGAAGCUGACUCUUCAGAAACCAUUGGAUCCCUAGAGUUUUUUUUGUUUUGUUUUGUUUUUUGGACACAGAUAUACAGACGAAGUUCUUAGUGUUUUACAAAGGCUCACUAAUAUUAUUUUCAAAGAAGGGCUAGGCAACAAAAGGGGGUGAAACAAAAAUAAUCUAAACCAAAGAAUCACAACCCAAUAGUAUUCACUUAUAGCACCUGACAUGAAUUUAUCUACAGAAAAAGAACCUAGGGACAAAACCCUUGGAGCUAGGGAGUUCUGUCAAAUGCCUUAAAGCUUUUCACCUUCCUCUACCACCAUAAAUCAGUUAUAAGAAAGUAUAAUAAGGAGUCCUGUCAUGGCACAGUGGAAACGAAUCUGACUAGGAACCAUGAGGUUGCAGGUUCGAUCCCUGGGUUAAGGAUCCGGCAUUGCCAUGAGCUAUGGUAUAGGUUGCAUACACGGUUCAGAUUGUUGCUGGGGCUAUGGUGUAGGCCGGCAGCUGUAGCUCCCCUUUGGCCCCUAACCUGGGAACCUCCACAUGCCAUGGGUGCAGCCCUAAAAAGACAAAAAAAAAAAACAGUAUAAUAGAAUCACUCAUGCAGAAAAAUUCCAAAUAAUUUAUGUAGAUACUCUGCUUCAAGGAGAUAAAACACUUGAUGCUCAACUCUCAAGUGUGGGCUACACAGGGUAACUUCUCUUCAAAGACUAUAGAAGUGGGGAAAGCAGGAACUCUUCAGUGGAAAAACCUGACUAACAUUACCUCAGCCAAGGAAAAAAGGUUAACAUCAACAGUGACAAAUCAUGUAAACAGUAUGUUUAAAGUAAUGGUAUGAAAAUGUUACUGUCUUUCUCU
rnacentral:lncRNA from 1 species